rnacentral:rRNA from 1 species
CCUACGGGGGGCAGCAGUGAGGAAUAUUGGUCAAUGGGCGCGAGCCUGAUCCAGCCAAGCAGCGUGAAGGAUGACUGCCCUACGGGUUGUAAACUUCUUUUAUAAAGGAAUAAAGUGAGGCACGGGUGCCUUUUUGUAUGUACUUUACGAAUACGGAUCGGCUAACCUCGUGCCAGCAGCCGUGGGAAUACGGUGGAUCCGUGCGGUAUCCGGAUUUAUUGGGUUUAAAGGGAGCAUAGCUGGGUUGUUAAGUCAGUUGGGAAAGUUUGGGGCUCAACCGUCAGAUUGCAAUUGAUACUGGCAGCCGUGAGUACAGUUGAGGUAAGCGGAAUUCGUGGUGUAGCGGUGAAAUGCUUAGAUAUCGCGAAGAACACCGAUUGCGAAGGCAGCUUACUGGACUGCCACUGACGUUGAGGCACGAAGGUGUGGGGAGCAAACAGGAUUAGAUACCCCUGUAGUC